UACGUAGGUGGCAAGCGUUGUCCGGAAUUACUGGGCGUAAAGGGUGCGUAGGUGGUUUCUUAAGUCAGAGGUGAAAGGCUACGGCUCAACCGUAGUAAGCCUUUGAAACUGGGAAACUUGAGUGCAGGAGAGGAGAGUGGAAUUCCUAGUGUAGCGGUGAAAUGCGUAGAUAUUAGGAGGAACACCAGUUGCGAAGGCGGCUCUCUGGACUGUAACUGACGCUGAGGCUCGAAAGCGUGGGGAGCAAACAGGAUUAGAUACCCUGGUAGUCCCUGA
rnacentral:rRNA from 1 species